UACAGAGUUCCUGCCCUCACGGGUAGAAACCCCACCCUUGUGUAUACUAUAUUGUUGCUUUAGCAGGCCGCCCUCGGGCGUCGGCGCACGCUGACCGUGCCUGCUAGAGGACCCUAAACUCUGAAAUAUCGUGUCGUCUGAGUACUAUUUAAUAGUUAAAACUUUCAACAACGGAUCUCUUGGUUCUGGCAUCGAUGAAGAACGCAGCGAAAUGCGAUAAGUAAUGUGAAUUGCAGAAUUCAGUGAAUCAUCGAAUCUUUGAACGCACAUUGCGCCCCUUGGUAUUCCGAGGGGCAUGCCUGUUCGAGCGUCAUUUAUACCAACUCCUCUUCAUAGAGGGUCUUGGGCUUCGCCUCCGGGCGGGCCUCAAAAUCAGUGGCGGUGCCUGAAGGCUCUACGCGUAGUAAUACACCCCGCGAUAGACGUCUUCUGGUAUCUUGCCAGCAACCCCCAACUUCUUAGGUUGA
rnacentral:rRNA from 1 species